rnacentral:rRNA from 1 species
CCUACGGGAGGCUGCAGUGAGGAAUAUUGGUCAAUGGGCGCGAGCCUGAACCAGCGAAGUAGCGUGAAGGAUGACUGCCCUACGGGUUGUAAACUUCUUUUAUAAAGGAGUAAAGUGAGUCACGUGUGCCUUUUUGUAUGUACGUUAUGAAUAAGGAUCGGCUAACUCCGUGCCGUCAGCCGCGGUAAUACGGAGGGUCCGAGCGUUAUCCGGAUUGGUUGGGUUUAAAGGGAGCGUAGAUGGGUUGUUAAGUCAGUUGUGAAAGUUUGCGGCUCAACCGUAAAAUUGCAAUUGAUACUGGCAGUCUUGAGUGCAGUUGAGGUAGGCGGAAUUCGUGGUGUAGCAGUGAAAUGCUUAGAUAUCACGAAGAACUCCGAUUGCGAAGGCAGCUUACUA